rnacentral:rRNA from 1 species
AUGGGAGGCUCUUCGGGAGGCCCUGGCCUCGGUGCGUUUUCUGCUGAGCGCGAUGAGGUCACGUGGAGGCUAGAGCCAUCGGGAGGCUUUUCUUCCGGCUCCCUGUAUAAGGAAAUCUUCAAAGCCGUUUAUGACCUGCGUUCACUAUGGAAAGCUAGAAUGCCAGCAAAAAUUAAAAUCUUCUUAUGGCAGCUGGCUAGGAACUGUAUUCCCAGCGGUGACCAGGUACAUAAAAGACACGACCCGGGUGAUGGCAUGUGUGUCUGGUGCAGAGAAGAGGAAACUAGCGGCCACAUAAUCUUCCGAUGCAUUGUGGCGCGGAUGGUGUGGAGCUCACUUAGAGAGGCGACUGGAUGUACUUGGAACCCGAGUGGUUUCGCUGAACUGUAUGGGCUCAUCAUGGCUAGCAGUGCCCAGGAGCGUAAGCUAGCGUGGCUCGGCGUUGGCGCACUUGCUUGGUCUCUUUGGACUACGAGGAACAAAGCUACCAUUGAGGAAAUUUUCUUUAAACAUCCGGCUGAUGUUGUGUAUAAAUUGGUCAUUCUAUUGCAGCUAUGGAAGGGGUUGACGAGACAGCGGGACCGCCCCGGCAUGGAUCGUCUCAUCGACCGAUUGAAGGCCAAGUGUGCUGAGCUUCGGUGUGGCGGAUUGAGGGAUGCAUCGGCAGGCGUGCUGACCUCCUCUGCCCCCUGA